CCAACAGCAGGCUCACAGUCUAGAAGGGGGAACUCUCGUGACGUACAGUCCCGUUCUGCGCUGUUGGAGACCAAGCCAAGCCUCAUGUCUGUGCCUGCAUAUUCCUACUGCCUCUCUGAGCCCCAGGGCCAUGACAGAGGAGAGAAACCAUGCAGGAUACAGGC